rnacentral:lncRNA from 1 species
AUGUGUGUGAUAAGACCGUCAGCUCCGAGGGUGUGUUCUUUCGUCUUCCAGAUACUCCUCCAGCUCUGUGAGCCUCCUGGGCCCCUUCAGCUCGUGGUCCAUGGCGGGCUAGUGCAGGCUUCUGCUCUGUGGUCAUCAAACCUCUUCAGAGUUGGAGGCAGCUGCUCGCAGGAACAGUGGCUGCUGAUCGUUGGGACAAGACCAAGGAGUCUAUUUAGAACCCUUAGCGUCACCUGACCUUUGCUAAUGAGGACACAGAGUCGUGACCCCAACACGUUGAGGGGUCUAUUUCAGGUUUAGUAGGAAACGCCAAUAUUCUCUUUUAAAUGAUUCUGUGCACAAAAUGCUGGUUAAAUAUGAUCUCUGGUGCUCCAGAAAGACUCAGUGCUCACGUGCACUGGGCUGCAUCUUUAUCAUAUCUGACCAUAACUUUUGCACCUUAGUGCCUCACUCAGGCUAAUGGACCCAGAAAUAUCUCUCCUGUGUGAGUCCACACAACUAUGACCUUUGACCCUCAUCUGGUGAGGCCCUGACCUACUGAUAGCCCCCCGAUCGUGUCUCUUGAACCCCCCCAAGGAGAGUUAAAUGCAGAUCAGGCAUACUACUGCCCCAGCGCUGCUGCAGAGGCCUCAUGACUGCUGAAAACACAACACUUUCCACAGGAAGUGCUCACUCACACUUUCCAAGGCUGUGAAAACAACAGCAACGGAUGAGAGGAGGGUGAGGAUUCCUGGGCGCUGGCACCACCGGCCCGGUCCCUAAGCCGGUUAUAGGGCCACUGGUGUCUGUGGGCUGUGUUGGGAGGGUGGAGGUGAAAGGGCAGCAGGUAUUGUGAGGAGAGAUGGGAGGAGACCAUGACUCAGUGGGGUGACAGAGGCCAGAGGACAGAGUCUUAAAAGUAGAGAUGGAGUCAGCCUCCAGUACCUGGACAGGGAGCUGGUUCCACAGCAGGGGGCCUUGGUAGCUAAAUGCUUGGCCCCCCAUUCUACCUCUAGAGACUCUGGGACCACAAGUAGACCAGCAUUCUGAGAGCGGAGCGUAUAAUAUUAUAUCAGUGAAGGACGGCAGACCCGGUCACCUAUUACAACUUCCAGAAUGAAGUUGUAAAAUGCAAAUAGAGUGAACGAGUAAGAGUAUAUCGAAUUGUCAGCAAAUAAUUCUCAAGAGCUUCAAGAAGAACCAACCAUGUUGCAUUACUACCACUAAUAAUACCCAGCUAGAACUACGGCCACAAGAGUUCUCCUGUACCGUCUACAUCGGUCUAAUGUCAAAUGAACCGAUCUGCUGAACAAAUGAAAAGCUUCCUUUUAAUAUCUUGAGGAUAAUAUAGAGCGACCCCCUUACUGGAGGGGGGAUAUCAUGGGACUCCUCACCUGCUCUAGUCCGAGAUGACAUUUCCCUCCAUGAAAAUGUGAAGCCACAACAGAGACAGACGAUCGUUGAAUCUCUUGUUUCCCCACUUGGAAGUUUAGACCAGUUCUGUUUAGGCUCAGUUCCAACACUCAAGAAGUGUUUCUUGUUUUACUUUUGGCGAAUCUCCUUUUGCACACAUCAGUCAACACUCACCUGUUGUCUCAGGUUCAGACUGACAGACAGAUGUUGGAUGAGUGUGAAGGACCUGUCCUCUGAUGUGUCGCUCACAUGUGUGUUAAACCGCAGCGCAGUCCGCCCAUCACACAUGCCGGUAAAUGACCAGCAUGGACCCUCUCAGGAUGUUGGGUAAUGUCUGGAUUCUUUGCAUCGUCAGGCCGAACGUCUGCUAGAGCAAUUGUCUCAAAUGUCAACAACAUCCAAGAGAGAGAGGGAGAGAACUGGAAUGCUGAGGUGGGGGGGGGGGCGGUUUUCCGACAACGCGCACAUAAACAUGCUGACUGUGGGUCAGCAGGAGAGUGAAGAAAGAGGGUGAUGGUGGAUUCCUGUGACAUAAUAUUUAAUACUUUGAAUCAACUGUAAAAAUCCAUCGGAAGGAAUAUGAAGAUGCUCUUGAUUCUUGGUUUUAGCCCCACCAGCUUCAGGGGUUAGCUUCACCUAACCUGAGAACCUGUUUCCAAGCCAACAUAUCUGCAUAUCUGUUGCCUGAAUGAAGGUGUUGGAGACAGGUGGGUUCUUUCAGGAGCUCUGGGACAAAGUUUCAAAGAGCAAGUAACACAACACUAACCCUUAACACAUUUAUGUCAGGAAGCUACAGCACUAGCAGCAGUGCUAGCAAACUUGAAUAGAUGUUGAUGAUGAUGUCACAACAAGUGUAGCCCGAAUGGACGUGUCUGGCAGGUAAACAGCCUUUUCCACACCAACUAGAAGUAACAAGAUGAUCUGUAAUGUGACUUCCUGUCAAAACACAUCAAAGGAAAUGAUACCAGAGAGUCGACUGAAAAAACUUAAAUGUUCUACCAAAGUUUGCUUAUUCAGAUGGUGUAAAACGUGUGGGAGAACAUUCCAACACAAACGGCAACAAUUUAUAUAAAGGUUACAAGUUUAGUGAUGUGGAAUUUCUCCACAAGUAUCAAGGUAGGUAGAGAGAUAUUGGGUGAAACUGCUAGCUAGAGUGACAAAUCAUUAGCAUCAUUCCAUCAUCAUUUAUGGAAAGUAUGACAUGUAGGAGGAUAGCAAACUCUACUGAAGCAUAUAUAAUCUGUUCUGAAUGAAGCAAUAUGCCAUCAAAUUGUGGCCGUGCUUGUCCAAGUGAACAGCUUCUACGUAGCGACAAUAAUAUUAGCCAAAUGCUAACACCAGCUGACAUUGUUCUCUUCCACCUGCCGGACAGCUGACUUAUUCAGUUCCUGCUUGACCUUGGUUAGCAACCCCUACGCUGGCUCCGUUGCCAUAGCUACAGUGACAGGAGCUUUAAUUUAGCUAUUAUUUUAGUUCGGUUGUGUGAAGGAGGAAAUAUC